AUGUUUCCGGCACUGAGGAUCACCCUGGAUGGGUUUACUACCGCUGCCCCGGCCAUGGUGGAGUAUGUUGCUUACUUGGUGGAGAAGAUGUUUCUCACUGGAGAUAAUGCUGUGGAUGCAAUUGGGUGGUCUGAAGACAGGAGAGAAGAGCUGGAGCGGCGCAAUGAACAGAGAAGAGCUAGAGGGAUGGUGGCAGUAGGAUUCAGGGGUUCAUGUUGUGAGGAGAGGAGGAGUGAAUCUUUGUUGUAG
rnacentral:rRNA from 1 species